GUCGCGCGAGUAAGUGGCACCACUCUGGCGAUGACCAACGGACGUACACCGUUGUACGAUCACGCCAUGUGGCCCAACGCUUAUCAGAGGUAUAAAUAGUCGUUCAACUUCUCGAUUCCGGCAUAACACAUUUUUUGUGCAAAUCUAUUCUUUGUCUUUACUCUAUUUUUCUUCACGAAAACCAACCAAAACCAAAAAUGGGCGCUGAAAAAGUAUCGAUGAACAUCGUUGUCGUUGGACAAGUCCAAUCUGCCAAGGCCGUCAAAAUCGUCGCCAAAGCCGCCCCAGCCACCAACCAAUUGAACUGUUAAUUCAACAUGUGAUUCAUCCAUCGCCAAUCCAAAAAUGCCAUAGCCCAAACAAUACGUUUAUUUAACCAAUAUCAUGUAUUGACUUUACAAAAUAAAUCAAUAAUUUCCGUUA